rnacentral:rRNA from 1 species
AACGAACGCUGGCGGCAUGCCUAACACAUGCAAGUCGAACGAGAUCUUCGGGUCUAGUGGCGCACGGGUGCGUAACGCGUGGGAAUCUGCCCUUUGGUUCGGAAUAACAGUUGGGAACGACUGCUAAUACCGGAUGAUGACGAAAGUCCAAAGAUUUAUCGCCAGAGGAUGAGCCCGCGUAGGAUUAGCUAGUUGGUGUGGUAAAGGCGCACCAAGGCGACGAUCCUUAGCUGGUCUGAGAGGAUGAUCAGCCACACUGGGACUGAGACACGGCCCAGACUCCUACGGGAGGCAGCAGUGGGGAAUAUUGGACAAUGGGCGAAAGCCUGAUCCAGCAAUGCCGCGUGAGUGAUGAAGGCCUUAGGGUUGUAAAGCACUUUUACCCGGGAUGAUAAUGACAGUACCGGGAGAAUAAGCUCCGGCUAACUCCGUGCCAGCCGCCGCAGUAA